GCACAGAACCUGGAGAAGAAGAAGCAAUUAAAGAGACAAGUGAAAUGGGUUCUCUGGUUUUCUGGGUUCUUCUCUUGGGUUCUCUGCUUCCACCCAGACCUCUCUUGUCUUCCUCUAAUGGCCUUUCUGAAAAUUUCUAUGCAAACACAUGCCCAAAUGUGGAAACCUUCAUCUGGAAUGCUUUAGUAGAGAAGUUGAAAGAACCCUUCAGGCCUACUCUCCCUGGCACUCUUCGCCUCUUCUUCCAUGACUGCUUCGUUGAGGGUUGCGACGGCUCGGUGUUCAUCUCAUCUAAAGCAUAUGAUGCAGAAAGAGAUGCUGAAAUUAACCUUUCUUUGAUCCCAGAUGGUUUCGAAGUUGUUAACCUGGCAAAGAAAGCUGUUGAAGCAGCAUGUCCCGGGCCAUUCUAGCCCGUGAUGUUGUCUACUAUGCAAACGGUCCAUGGUGGCCGGUUGAGAAGGGGAGGAGAGAUGGAAGGAAUUCCAAGGCUGCCAACGCAGCUGCCCAGUUGCCAAGUGGCAACUCCAACUUGACUGAUCUUAUUGAAAUGUUCCAAUCAAAGGGACUGGGUUAUGAUAAAAUUCGAUGAAACGCCGUUUCAGUUUGAUAACUUGUACUACAAGCGCUUGAUGCAGCUCAGAGGACUACUGACGUCCGAUCAAGAGCUGUUUUCCGGCGGCGACGAAUAUAUCCGGUCAAUUGUUUCGCGGUUUGCCGAAGACCAGGAGCUGUUUUUCAAGUCCUUUGGUAGUGCCAUGAAGAGGUUGGGAGCUGUUGGGGUUAAAACUGGAACUGAAGGGGAGAUUAGAAAGGACUGUAUUAGGUUCAAUUCAUUCUUCUUGUCUGUUAUGGGUAGGGAGUGGUUGAGUUGUAGUGGAUGACGUGUGUAGUUGCGUGAGUUAUGUAUGGUUGCAUGUGGUUAUAUAAGUUACAUAUAGUUAUGGAGGUAUGGGUUACAUGGGUUGUGUGGGUCACGUGAUAUUAGAUAGUGUUAUCGCAAGUGUUGUACGUUACCCAAACUGUUCUUGAGUAAUUGUUAAUUGUUAUUUAAUAGAAGUCCUACAGUAUCGGGAGGUAUCUUUGAACCCGA